UGUAUAUUAAAAAAACAUAAAAUUGUGAAAAACCUCCACACAGAUUUUAAAUUAGCCAGUUUACUAUAAAAACCUGUUCAUGUUGAACAUUAUUACAAUUCUCUGAUUUUUUCAGAACCUCGGACUUCUAAAUUAAUAUUUUAUCUCACAUCUUUCACAUUGCUGUUUUUCAGAAUGACUUAUUUAUUUCCCGAUGAGCUUUUUCAGCAGAAUGAGUCCGUCUGUCAAUUAAACAAGACAAGGCGGAGACACUUUUGUGAUUGGCUACUCCUUUACUCAGACAUAAGCAGCAGCAGCCUAACUACAUCCACUGAAGUUGCUUCAGCAACGUAGUGUUGCCUCAACACCAACAGUGUUGCCAGGUUGGAGGGUGUUAGACUAGGAGAAUGUUGAGGGUUUCAGGUUUAUUUAUUUCUACAUGCUAAUCGUGAUAUAGAAGGUAUAGGCUGUUUUUGGCUUCCAUAACUUUAGCAAUAAACAAAGCAGAAAUGUCACUGUUUAACAAAAAUACUAAAAAGGUUCUCCACAGUUUGUUUACCAUCAAAGUUUACAGACACUAUUAACAAACUGACAUUAUUUAUUAAUUGAUGGAAAAAAACUCCCAAACCUUUACACAAACACUUCACCGCCAUGAAAAGGUCACAUGAUUUUUGUAAUACAGUGUUCACUCACUGUACACGGUUCAACUCUUGCAGUGCAGACUUUUGACUCUGUCUGCUUUCCCACCAGUAGGUGGAGACAAUCCGUCCAUAUUAGCCCCGCCCUCAAACCCUCAAGGUGGGACAUCUGCGUCCAUCCUGUGAGCAGACAGGAGAGACCGACAGCUGAACACAUUAAACAUGAUUGUCUUCUUGUUCCUGUUGUUUCCAUCAGUGACUUCAGCUCCCUCCAGUAACGCCGUCCAGCAAACGCCCCCUUCCCUCAUCAGGAGUCCCGGUCAACCGGUUCCCAGCCAGAUCUACUGUUCACACAGCAUCACAAGCUUUGAUAACAUCCUCUGGUACAAACAAGACAGCGGGGGGGCUCUGAAGUACCUGGGAUAUCUGAACCUGCAGUUCCCCUAUCCAGAGAACGACGUGAAGGAGACCCUCAGCUUCAGCGGGGACGGCCGUUCGCACUCCAACCUCAGCUUUUCCAGGCUGUCUGAAGACGACUCCGCUGUGUAUUUCUGUGCUGCUAGGAGGGCACAGUGCAGCGGAGCCUCGCGCAGGCAAUGCAAAAACCCAGCAGACGGAGCGAAACAUCUGCGCAGCCGUCAUCGCAAAAACACAUCAGAAAAACAGUGGUGAAGGUUCACACGCCACUUCCUGGUU